rnacentral:rRNA from 1 species
UACGGGGGGGGCAAGCGUUGUUCGGAAUUACUGGGCGUAAAGGGCUCGUAGGCGGCCAACUAAGUCAUACGUGAAAUCCCUCGGCUUAACCGGGGAACUGCGUCUGAUACUGGAUGGCUUGAGUUUGGGAGAGGGAUGCGGAAUUCCAGGUGUAGCGGUGAAAUGCGUAGAUAUCUGGAGGAACACCGGUGGCGAAGGCGGCAUCCUGGACCAACACUGACACUGAUGAGCGAAAGCCAGGGGAGCAAACGGG